rnacentral:rRNA from 1 species
CAGCCGUAAAACAAUGUGCGUUAGGUGUGUCGGUAACCACGCGUUACUGAUGCGCCGAAGAGAAAUCGUGAAACGCACCACCUGGGAAGUACGGUCGCAAGGCUGAAACUUAAAGGAAUUGGCGGGGGAGCACCACAACAGGUGGAGCCUGCGGUUUAAUUGGAUUCAACGCCGGACAUCUCACCGGAUAAGACAGCUGAAUGAUUGUCAAUCUGAAGGUUUUACAUGACUAGCUGAGAGGUGGUGCAUGGCGUCAGUGACU